rnacentral:rRNA from 1 species
GAUGAACGCUGGCGGCGUGCCUAAUACAUGCAAGUCGAGCGAAGCGGGGACGCGUAAGGAACACGUGGAUAACCCCCUAUACGACUGGGAUAACUUCAGGAAACCGGAGCGCAACCGGAUCCUUAUAGAUGGAUCCGCGCUGCAUUAGCUAGUUGGUAAGGUAACGGCUUACCAAGGCAACGAUGCAUAGCCGACCUGAGAGGGGGAUAGGCCACACUGGAACGGAGACACGGUCCAGACUCCUACGGGAGGGAGCAGUGGGGAAUCUUCCGCAAUGGGCGAAAGCCUGACGGGGCAACGCCGCGUGAGGGAUGAAGGUCUUCGGAUCGUAAAACUCUGUUAUUAGGGAAGCGGUACCUAAUCAGAAAGCCACGGCUAACUACGUGCCAGCAGCCGCGGUAAUUC